rnacentral:lncRNA from 1 species
UCAGGUCAGUGUGAGUGGAGAUUGAAGGAGAGGAUCAGUUGUGUUCACCGAUCAGUUUAGUAUAGCCGGUAAGCCUUAGCUUCUUGCUCUUAGAUAAGUUCUGAAAAGAGCCGGUUAUUGGUUGAUGAAUAACCUUUCUGGAUCAGUUUGAUUAAGGCCUAUGUGGAUUGAUAUUAGUCCAGUUCAUGGUCAGCUAGUACCUAAAUCAUUUAGCUGAAACGAUUUGUCUCUGAACCAGACUGAAC